ensembl:lncRNA
GUGUAUCCUGUCCCAUUCACAACCCAGAAGUGUGUUUUCCAGGUCUCAGGGAAACUUUCUGAAAUGAAACACAUUUCCCCAUUGGUUGCAGGAAAGCAGGUCGAUGUAGGAGAGCUGAAGUCUCACCCAGCCCCUAUGGAAGUGCAUCUACUGAACGUUGAUCACCACCAGGCCCUGGGGGAUGUGCCUGUGAACGAGGAGACAGACUUCAGGGAUAGUCAGGGCUCUGACCCUGCAGAGGAGCUGGAUACUGCUGCUGUGAAUGGAGAUGAGGAAAAAAUUCAAGACCUCCUGGACCCCACAGCCAGCAAGGUUCACCUGAGCAGCCAGGAGAUACAUGAAACCUUGAGACACAUGGAAGCUGCGAACAUGAAUCUGAGUAAAUCCAUGAAGGCGGUAAGGAAGGUCCUGCAAACUCCCUUGGGAGAAGGUGAGCGAGAUCCCCAUAUGAAAUCUGCUGCCAGAUAACAACAAACAGGAUCAGACAAGAGUCCUUCAGAAGAAAACUCCGUGGCCACACGUUUUAAUGAACUGCAAAUCUGCUGGUAACGAAGCUGUGCAGGGAGGGGCAGACAGACCAGCAGCUGCAGUGCAUUUCCAAUGGCACGUUGCUGCCCACAGCAGUCAGUGGUGUA